AUACGUAGGGGGCGAGCGUUAUCCGGAUUUAUUGGGCGUAAAGCGUGUGUAGGCGGUUUGUUAAGUUUAAGAUUAAAGCCCGAGGCUUAACCUCGGUUCGUCUUAAAAACUGGCAGACUUGAGUGCAGUAGAGGCAAGUGGAAUUUCUAGGGUAGCGGUUAAAUGCGUAGAUAUUAGAAGGAACACCAGUGGCGAAGGCGGCUUGCUGGGCUGUUACUGACGCUGAGACACGAAAGCGUGGGGAGCAAAUAGGAUUAGAUACCCUAGUAGUCCACGCCGUAAACGAUGAGUACUAAGUGUCGGGUAACCGGUGCUGAAGUUAACACAUUAAGUACUCCGCCUGAGUAGUACGGUCGCAAGGCUGAAACUCAAAUGAAUUGACGGGG
rnacentral:rRNA from 1 species